AGGACGAACGCUGGCGGCGUGCUUAACACAUGCAAGUCGAACGAGGUCCAACCAGUGGCAACACUGGGGAAGACCGAGUGGCGAACGGGUGAGUAACACGUGAGCAACCUGCCCCGAAGACCGGGAUAACAGCGGGAAACCGCUGCUAAUACCGGAUACUCCCCACCGGACCGCAUGAUCUGGUGAGGAAAUGGAUUCCGCUUCGGGAGGGGCUCGGCGGGCUAUCAGCUUGUUGGUGAGGUAACGGCU
rnacentral:rRNA from 1 species